CAGUCGCCGCGGUAAUACGGAGGGUGCAAGCGUUAAUCGGAAUUACUGGGCGUAAAGCGUGCGUAGGCGGUUCGUUAAGUCUGUUGUGAAAGCCCCGGGCUCAACCUGGGAAUGGCAAUGGAUACUGGCGAGCUAGAGUGUGUCAGCGGAUGGUGGAAUUCCCGGUGUAGCGGUGAAAUUCGUAGAUAUUCGGAAGAACACCAGUGGCGAAGGCGGCUCACUGGCUCAUUCUAGACGCUGAGGUGCGAAAGCGUGGGGAGCAAACAGGAUUAGAUACCCCAGUAGUCCCUGUCUCUUAUAC
rnacentral:rRNA from 1 species